rnacentral:rRNA from 1 species
UCAAGCUAUAAAGAGCGCAGGGUGGAUGCCUUGGCACUAAGAGCCGAUGAAAGACGUGAUAAGCUGCGAAAAGCUUCGGGGAGGAGCAAAUAUCCUUUGAUCCGGAGAUAUCUGAAUGGGGAAACCCGGCUGAGAAGACCUCAGUCACUGUAUGGUAAAUCCAUAGCCAUACAGAGGGAACCCGGUGAACUGAAACAUCUAAGUAGCCGGAGGAAGAGAAAGAAACAUCGAUUCCGGAAGUAGCGGCGAGCGAACCCGGAAGAGCCCAAACCAGCGUGCGUGCAUGCUGGGGUUAAGGACUGCAUAAGUGAGCCGAUCUGUUAAUGGAACUGCCUGGGAAGGCAGGCCAGAGAGGGUGAAAGCCCCGUACAUGAAAACGGUAGGCAGCGGCAGGAUCCAGAGUACCGCGAGACACGAGAAACCUUGCGGGAAGUCGGAGGGACCACCCUCCAAGGCUAAAUACUCCUUAGUGACCGAUAGCGCAUAGUACUGUGAAGGAAAGGUGAAAAGGACCCCGGGAGGGGAGUGAAAGAGAACCUGAAACCCUGUGUUUACAAGCUGUCGAAGCACUAUAUAUGUGCGACGGCGUACUUUUUGUAGAACGGUCCGGCGAGUUAUGGCAUGUGGUAAGGUUAAGUACUUCAGGUACGGAGCCGAAGCGAAAGCGAGUGUGAAAAGCACGUUCUAAUCGCCUGUCAUAUACCCGAAACCGGGUGAUCUAUCCAUGUCCAGGAUGAAGUUGCCGUAAAAGGCAAUGGAGGUCCGAACACACAUCCGUUGAAAAGGGUGGUGAUGAGGUGUGGAUAGGGGAGAAAUUCCAAUCGAACCCGGAGAUAGCUGGUUCUCCUCGAAAUAGCUUUAGGGCUAGCCCCGUAUUAGUUUAGCGGAGGUAGAGCACUGAAUUCCUAAGGGGGCGUCAAAGCUUACCAAGGGAUAUCAAACUCCGAAUGCCGCAUAAAUGAUGUACGGGAGUCAGACUGCACGAGAUAAGUUGGGCAGUCAAAAGGGAAAGAGCCCAGACCUACAGCUAAGGUCCCAAAGUGUGUGUUAAGUGGAAAAGGAUGUGGGAUUUCAGAGACAACUAGGAUGUUGGCUUAGAAGCAGCCACACAUUCAAAGAGUGCGUAAUAGCUCACUAGUCGAGAGGUCCUGCGCCGAAAAUGUCCGGGGCUAAAACACAACACCGAAGCUUAGGAAUGUAGAAAUACAUUGGUAGAGGAGCAUUCUUAAAGGAAUGAAGCAGUACCGGUAAGGAGCUGUGGACUUUUAAGAAGAGAGAAUGCCGGAAUGAGUAGCGAGAUGGAGGUGGGAAUCCUCCAGGCCGAAUAUCCAAGGUUUCCAGAGUAAAGCUGAUCUGCUCUGGGUAAGUCGGGGCCUAAGGUAAGGCUGAGAAGCGUAGCCGAUGGACAACAGGUUGAGAUUCCUGUACCGCGUAUCAUCAGAACUGUGGGGACACAGAAGGACAGCACAUCCCGGGAAUGGAAAGACCGGGGCAAGCAGGGUAGGAGUUAAGCUGGCAAAUCCGCUUAACAAUCCGAAGCUGUGAUGCGGAGCGAAUUUAAGUAGCGAAGUGUGCGAUUCCAGCUGUCAAGAAAAGCCGCUAUUGUGUGAUACGUGCCCGUACCGUAAACCGACACAGGUAGAUGAGGAGAGAAUCCUAAGGCCGGCGGGAGAAGCAUUGUUAAGGAACUCGGCAAAAUGACCCUGUAACUUCGGGAGAAAGGGUGCCUGGGAAACCAGGCCGCAGAGAAUAGGCUCAAGCAACUGUUUAGCAAAAACACAGGUCUAUGCAAAACCGUAAGGUGAGGUAUAUGGGCUGACGCCUGCCCGGUGCUGGAAGGUUAAGAGGAGAGGUUAGAGCAAUCGAAGCUUUGAAUUGAAGCCCCAGUAAACGGCGGCCGUAACUAUAACGGUCCUAAGGUAGCGAAAUUCCUUGUCGGGUAAGUUC